UACGUAGGGCGCAAGCGUUGUCCGGAAUUAUUGGGCGUAAAGAGCUCGUAGGCGGCUUGUCACGUCGGUUGUGAAAGCCCGGGGCUUAACCCCGGGUCUGCAGUCGAUACGGGCAGGCUAGAGUGUGGUAGGGGAGAUCGGAAUUCCUGGUGUAGCGGUGAAAUGCGCAGAUAUCAGGAGGAACACCGGUGGCGAAGGCGGAUCUCUGGGCCAUUACUGACGCUGAGAAGCGAAAGCAUGGGGAGCGAACAGG
rnacentral:rRNA from 1 species